rnacentral:rRNA from 1 species
CGGCUUCGCAAGUCUCCCGGGAAAUCCAGCGGCUUAACCGUUGGGCGCCCGUGGGAUACUGCGUUGCUUGGGACCGGGAGAGGUAGGAGGUACUCGAGGGGUAGGGGUGAAAUCCUGUAAUCCUUCGGGGACCACCGGGGGCGAAGGCGUCCUACCAGAACGGGUCCGACGGUGAGGGACGAAAGCUAGGGGCACGAACCGGAUUAGAUACCCGGGUAGUCCUAGCCGUAAACGAUGCCCGCUAGGUGUCACGGCGGUCGUGAAUCGCCGUGGUGCCGUAGGGAAGCCGCGAAGCGGGCCACUUGGGAAGUACGGCCGCAAGGCUGAAACUUAAAGGAAUUGGCGGGGGAGCACCACAACGGGUGGAGCCAGCGGUUUAAUCGGAUUCAACGCCGGGAAGCUUACCGGGAUCGACAGUUGGAUGAAGGCCAGGCCGAAGACCUUGCCGGACUAGCUGAGAAGAGGUGCAUGGCCGUCGUCAGUUCGUACCGUGAGGCGUCUUGUUAAGUCAGGUAACCAGCG